AAAUAUGUACUUUUGAUUGACGAACUUUGUUUACUAGCCCCUUGUACUUUGUGCCUAUAACUAAAUUUAAAUAUGAAUUCCACUAAAACAAUUUUUUUGCGGCAGCUGCUGCACGCGUUUUGGUUUCGGUUUCUCUACCACGAAUGACAACGACCCACGGGGCGACAUAGACUGAGAGCGCGAAAGAGAGUGCAAGAGAGAGCAAGAGAAUUGGCAGCCCCCAGAUGAGGCGCCUUUCUUGGGGGAUGGGGCAGAGCGAAACGGUUGCAAACGGUUACAAAUCGGUUGUCAACGACUGCUAACGAAACGGUUCGCAAUCGAAUCGAAAAACGUAGCAAUCAAUGAAUUACAUUUUUGAACAUCCAGUUUUACUAUGAAAACGUUUUGCUAUGAAAUCAUUUCACAACAAAAUUCAGAACGCACUGUUUGGCUUGACAAAAUUUCCUUCGAAAUAUUUGUUAAUUCCCCAUAAAUUUUGUUACCCGCUCUUGACGAUAGGUUUUCAAAAUGCCUGGCAAGAAGAAAGUAGUUGCCAAGAAAACUGCAGCCACGCCUGCGGCAAAAGUAAAUAUUGGCAGCACUGCAGGAGCACCAGCGGCUGCAGUGGUUUCAGAGAAGACUGAAGCCACUGCCGUUAAGAAAGCCAAGACCAAGAGCAAGUCUAAAACCAAGAGCAAAUAGAGACAAUGAGGGAGUGGUAUUGAAAUUUUAAAAAUUAUCAAGCAAACAAAAACACCAAUGCCCAGUAAAAAGUGGAGCUAACGGUUUACACCUUUCAAGGUUGAAACUUAACUGGAACUAAUAUGAACUCUUACUACCAGUUAAAAAUAGGUUUUACCUGUUCUAAACCACUCUAGGAAAAGGGAUUUUAUAAAGUACAAGCACACACUGCAAAGGAAUAUUUUUAUCAAAUUAACUGAAAUAAAAAAAUUACAUCUAA